AACGCGAAGAACCUUACCUACUCUUGACAUCCUGCGAACUUGGUAGAGAUACCUUGGUGCCUUCGGGAACGCAGAGACAGGUGCUGCAUGGCUGUCGUCAGCUCGUGUUGUGAAAUGUUGGGUUAAGUCCCGUAACGAGCGCAACCCUUGUCCUUAGUUGCCAUCAUUUAGUUGGGGACUCUAAGGAGACUGCCGGUGACAAACCGGAGGAAGGCGGGGACGACGUCAAGUCAUCAUGGCCCUUACGAGUAGGGCUACACACGUGCUACAAUGGCAAGUACAGAGGGCCGCGAAGCCGCGAGGUGGAGCUAAUCUCACAAAGCUUGUCGUAGUCCGGAUUGGAGUCUGCAACUCGACUCCAUGAAGUCGGAAUCGCUAGUAAUCGCAAAUCAGAAUGUUGCGGUGAAUACGUUCCCAGGGUCUUGACACACCG
rnacentral:rRNA from 1 species